rnacentral:rRNA from 1 species
AUGGCACAAAACUUCGAAAUUGGAAAGCCAGUGCGCAGCGAAACCAUGGCAGUCAUGCUACAGAUGUUGAAAAAGCAACUCAGGGGCACAAAGAGAAAGAUUCUAUCAACAUACAACACCGCAUCAAUACACAUGGCCAACCAUGAAGAUCCAUUGGAGUUGAAAAAUAAAGAUGAUGCACACAUCAGAGACAAGACAAUUCCUAAAAGGCUUAAAAGAUUCCUUGAUCUGGAAGAAGGAGAGCAACUACAAGAUUUGGACAUGGAACAAGUCCCAGAGUUGAGAAAGAAAAUUCUCUAUCAAAUAUUCUGCCAAUACAGAGAUACAGCAGCACUGUCAUUAAUCAACUACACCGCAGAUAUGCUCAAACCUGAGGUCGAUAUGGAAGACAGUGAAAUGGAACAAAUACAUUGUGACAUAAUUCAACAAGAGAUUCCUCCAACUCCCGAGAACAUUGGGACAAGUGCUCAAGAGAUAAAAGUUAUUAACAUUAAUGACACAAGCAGCGAUGAGAAGAAAGAAGAUUAUCAUUUGAGCAGCAAGGAUACCACCAAGGUGUCUGAAGAAGCACUCAUGGAAGAACAAGCCCAGACAGAUCCUGGUUUACAGAGGGAACAACACACACAGCCAGACACUGAUUUACAAAAGGAAGACGAACGAAAAGAUCCGCCGAUAGAACCAGACAGAUCACCCCCAGAUAAAAACAACGAAGGCAUAACACGCUCUCCUUUAGAAGUGGAUAACAGGAAAAAGAGCAUACCAACUCGCCAACAACAGCUUUCCAAACAGGACAUGAACCCUGUUGGCGAAGAUCGCAUACCAGGAACAUCACCAGAGGCAGAACAUGCACAAGAAGGAAAGAAGGAGAAAGGAAAGAUUUUAGCAGAAAAGAUACUUCAAAAUAGGAAACAUGAUGCUGAAGUCUCAAUAGAAUCGAGCAUAAAAAACAACAACACACAAAAGGACACACCAACACCUGGGCAGCUUAACGAGCAGGCACAGUUCGGUCAUGACAAGAAGGGGAAGGCAUCUUGCAAGAGUGCAGACAAGUUCCCCAAAACCCUCAACGAUUCAAUCACAUGA